GCACUUGCGAGUAUCACAAGUUGAGGAUGCAACUGAAUCCAUUUUGGUGCAGCUGAAUCUACACAACAACAACAAUCCAAGAAAGAUUGCAAUGCUGAAUAUCAAGAUGUGGGCUCCACUAUUUACUAUUUACAACAGUUCACAAUAGGCCGUGACUUGUUCCCAAGCUUAAAACCCUUCAGACCGCGAAAAAAAAAAAGGGCUUAAAACCCUACCAAAAUCGGAGUUCGCUAGCAUUCGACACAAAAGGAAGAAAUGUCAGUUUCUGAGGAAAAUGCCAAUAUCCGAGACCACCAUCGCCGGUUGCUGGCGGCGAAAUACGAGCUGAGACGAAAUCUGUACAAGGCCCUCUGCAAGGACCCAAGCCUUCCCAGCGACCUGCGCGAGGAGAACCGCUUCAAGCUCUCCAAGCUGCCCCGAAACAGCUCCUUCACGCGCGUCAGGAAUCGCUGCAUCUUCUCCGGCCGGGCACGCGCCGUCUACGAGACCUUCCGUAUGUCCCGUAUCGUCUUUCGUACUCUGGCCUCUAAAGGCAUGCUCAAUGGCAUUAAGAAAGCGUCUUGGUAGCCACCGAACCGGUGGCUGAUGAUACUACAAAAGUUAGUAUAAGUUGUUCUAUUACAAUGCUAUACCUUGGUUAAUUACAAACCGGUCAUUCUCUCCUACUUUGGUUAUUGGAGAAAAAGUGUACACUUAUUGGUGUUGAAUAAAAGGUUUUAGCGAACAAUUUGAAAGUUGAGCUUAUUUUUGUAUGACUGGAUGAUAUAUAAUAUUGUACUAGUUGUUUUCUGCGUUGAAGUAUGGGAAACUAGAGUCUAGAGUUGCCCGAACGAUUCGUGUGUAAAGUAACAUGAGAAUGAGUCACCAUGCUGGGCUGUUACGAGGUGCCUUGGGCCAAAUGAGCAAACUAUUUAAGGUAUAA